rnacentral:pre_miRNA from 1 species
CUUGUACUCCCUCCGUCCGAAAAUACUUGUCAUUGAAAUGGAUGUAUCUGGAUGUAUUUUAGUUCUAGACACAUCCAUUUUGAUGACAAAUAAUUCCGGACGGAGGGAGUACUUG